ensembl:lncRNA
CUGUGGGAGACCAUGAACCCUCACGAAUAUCAGUGAAAACCAUGCCUGAUCUAUGCACGAGAAAGGCAUUCCUGAAUCCACAAGUUGCUUUUAUUUAUUUCUCUUUCAAAGUGCAAUAAAAUGUUGCUCGAGAGGGAGAGGUCUCGUAGGGCUGGGAGUAAGCCCCGCUGUACGCACUGAGGGCAGCAGUGGCUAUUUUCAUAGCGCUGUGAUGCUGAAGAGAGGUGUCAGCAUUGGGCACCGUGGAACCACCUCACCGCUGCCUGAAGUCGCAUCUGAAGUUUUCUUUGCACUUUAUUGCACAUGAGUUCUGCUCUUGGCUGCCGGUUCCUCCCUUCAGACUCCCAAAGACUUUCAGCCAGCUCAGCUUUUCCUGUUUACUUCCAUGUAAAAGGCAUCAUUGGUGAUAUCACUCCAAGCCUAGAAAAGAGCUCGGGGAUGCAGGCAGAAACCUCCCCCAUCUGUUCUGGAGUGAUCUGUGCAAUCUGCAAGCACAACCCUGCAGGAGACGAUGGAUGUCCCAGCAUGCUGCAGUUACUUCUCUUCGAUUACAUGGAUGGGGCAGCAACCAUGGAUUUUGAACCUCUGUCUGCAAGCACUGUGUCCCCAGUGUCCAUUUCAGCAGUGGUGACAGUGGUAAAGGAAAACACAGAUGUGAGGCCCUUAGGCAUGCUGAAUUCUAACCAGUUUCUCCUCUCCUCCCUGAGGUGGGUAUGUGGAGCCAAGAUACCA